rnacentral:rRNA from 1 species
GGGUGCGAUCAUACCAACGUUAAUGCACCGAAUCCCAUCAGAACUCUGUAGUUAAGCGUGCUUGGGCUAGAGUAGUAAUGGGAUGGGUUACCUCCUGGGAAGUCCUAGUGUUGCACCCU